GACGAACGCUGGCGGCGUGCUUAACACAUGCAAGUCGAACGGAAAGGCCCUGCUUUUGUGGGGUGCUCGAGUGGCGAACGGGUGAGUAACACGUGAGUAACCUGCCCUUGACUUUGGGAUAACUUCAGGAAACUGGGGCUAAUACCGGAUAGGAGCUCCUGCUGCAUGGUGGGGGUUGGAAAGUUUCGGCGGUUGGGGAUGGACUCGCGGCUUAUCAGCUUGUUGGUGGGGUAGUGGCUUACCAAGGCUUUGACGGGUAGCCGGCCUGAGAGGGUGACCGGCUACAUUGGGACUGAGAUACGGCCCAGACUCAUACGGGAGGGAGAAGUGGGGAAUAUUGCACAAUGGGCGGAAGCCUGAUGCAGCAACGCCGCGUGCGGGAUGACGGCCUUCGGGUUGUAAACCGCUUUCGCCUGUGACGAAGCGUGAGUGACGGUAAUGGGUAAAGAAGCACCGGCUAACUACGUG
rnacentral:rRNA from 1 species